UGGGGAAUAUUGGACAAUGGGCGCAAGCCUGAUCCAGCCAUGCCGCGUGUGUGAAGAAGGCCUUUUGGUUGUAAAGCACUUUAGGCGAGGAGGAGGCUACCCUGACCAAUACUCAGGAGUAGUGGACGUUACUCGCAGAAUAAGCACCGGCUAACUCCGUGCCAGCAGCCGCGGUAAGACGGAGGGUGCAAGCGUUGUUCGGAAUCACUGGGCGUAAAGAGCGUGUAGGCGGCUGAAUAAGUCAGAUGUGAAAUCCCUGGGCUUAACCCAGGAAGUGCAUUUGAAACUAUUCAGCUUGAGUAGGGGAGAGGAAAGUGGAAUUCCUGGUGUAGAGGUGAAAUUCGUAGAUAUCAGGAGGAACACCGGUGGCGAAGGCGACUUUCUGGCCCUAUACUGACGCUGAGACGCGAGAGCGUGGGUAGCAAACA
rnacentral:rRNA from 1 species